rnacentral:rRNA from 16 species
CCGAAAGGAGAAUUCGAUGGAAAACGGGUUAAUAUUCCCGUACCGGUGUAUACUGCGAUGAGGUGACGAAGGCGUGUAAGGGAUGCCAACAGACGGAAUUGUUGGUUGAAGUGCGAAGGCGUUGAUUGUGUAGGCAAAUCCGCACAUGAGCUGAUGUACGAUAGUACUCAAAGACUUAGGUCGGCGAGAUAAUUCCCCCAAACAGACUUCCAAGAAAACCCUCUAAGCAUAGGUAUAUACCGCCCGUACCGUAAACCGACACAGGUAGUCGAGGAGAGUAUCCUCAGGCGCUCGAGUGAUUCGUGGCUAAGGAACUAGGCAAAAUGGCCUCGUAACUUCGGGAGAAGAGGCGCUCCGGUUAAAAUUGGAGCCGCAGUGAAAAGGCCCAGGCGACUGUUUAGCAAAAACACAGGACUAUGCGAACUCGAAAGAUGAAGUAUAUGGUCUGACACCUGCCCGGUGCUGGAAGGUUAAGGAAGGGGCUUAGGAGCAAUCCGAAGGUCUUAACUGAAGCCCCAGUAAACGGCGGCCGUAACAAUAAC